GAGAAGAUGGUUGAACAUGAUUUUUCACUCUACAUAAUGGAAUGAGUUCAUAGACACCUUGAAAGUAAACAAUAUCAAGAGGAAAUUGCUUUCUUGUGACAUCCACAAUAGCAGUAGGACAAGAAAUGGUAAUACCAACCUACUGAUAUAAAAUCCAAAUUGGCAAUGCAGUAGUUGAUAUGGUAAACAUGCAUGGGUAAACUGUUACAGCAAAAGUUGAAGAAUUAGACGAUGCAGCAAUUGGAGUGGUGUUGAACAGUAGAGUCGUCUCUCCCGCUUUGGAAUUUCUUUUCUGGAUUGAACCUAUUACAGUAACCAUAAAUCGCAUUAGCGAAUGUGUUUUAUAAGUCGCAUUAGCGAAUGUGUUUUAUAAGUCGCAUUAGGGAAUGUGUUUUAUAAGUCGCAUUAACAGAGCGUAUUAUAUAAGUUGCAUUCUUUAUUAGUCGUGUUAUGAUAAUGCUAUUUAUAAAACUGUUUGCCCUAAAGACAGAUAACAAUUGAAUUUAUACAGUAAUUUUAAGGACACGUGAUUUUACUUGGCAAAAACUGAGAAAAAGCACAAAUUGAUAUUGAAAUUAAAUGUAAAUAGAAAUAAAGCAAACCAAAAGAAAUGUAUAGCUUGGAUCCUCGAACUAGGUCGCCUCGAAUCAAAUAAGUAUUUCACUGGAAAGUAUGAACAGAAUAACAUAGUACUGAGAGCUUAAGAGAAAGAUAGCAUAUUGCUUUAUGUAGCGUGAAUAUAAUGUGUUUUACAAAUGAUUGUCAUACCUCCUUUUUGCGCGCCUACCCCGAGGGAUAGAUGCGUAAGGGAAUUUUUCCAAUUUAAGUGACAAUAUUCGAAAUGGGAUUAUUUAUUUAUUUCAGAGUCGCCACUGCAUGAGGGAGUUUUUCCAUUUUAAGUGACAUUAAUCGAAUCGAGAUUAUUUAUUUAUUUCAAAGUCGCCACUUGGGAUAAGUUCGGCUUUUGGUGUCCCAAGUCACCGGUUUAUCUUGAAUCCCAAUUCGAGAAAAAUAUUCGACUUUCCUUUUGAAGUCUGCGAACCAGAAAUUCUAAGUAAGGAAUUCUGUUGACCCGAGGGAAGAUGUUAGGCACCCCCGGAUCCCGUUUUUUGAAGUCUGCGAACCAGAAAUUCUAAGUAAGGAAUUCUGUUGACCCGAGAGAAGGUGUUAGGCACCCCUGAAUCCCGUGUGUCUAGCACGGUCGCUUAAGUUGUUGUAAUGGCAAAAUAUCUGAUUUUAAUACAUGUUAUAACCUAUAUGCCAAUUUUAACUUUUAACCGCUUUUAUUUAAUAUAUAUUUAUUUGAAAAAGUGAACGUCAUUCAAAGUGUGCUUUUGGAUUGCGCCGCAGGAGCCCACAAUCCUAAAUUUAGAAAUGAUACGCUACAAAUUUUCAAGCUCCAAAACCACUAAUGCAUGUCUUACUACUCCAAAACCAAUAAAUCUAUUAAUCUGUUAAUUUAAUUUUUCCUAAUACAAAACUACUAGUUUCCUAUCAAACCAUCAAUACUUGUUUUAACCUUACGAUAUCACUUUUUCCUAUUGCAUUUAUCCAGCAAAACAGAAUCAAACGCAAAGAAAUAACACGCUAACAUGUUAAAAAUGUCAUCACAUGUUUUAUUCAGCAACUAUCCAUGCAAAUUGAUAUAUGAAUCCUUGACACUAAAAUUUGUUAAUUAGCCUUAAUUAUUCGCGAACAAGUUUUAUAUGAUUAAUCUAAAUUGAAGCCAAGUAAACAACUACUUCUAACCGAAUCACGCUAUUACUAACUAAAUAAUAGAUACGAAAACAGCCCUGGGCAAUUCAAAUUAGUACAAAUCACUGAUAAGUCCAACAGUCCACAAAUUGCAAAACAGUCAAAAGUUAUUACUCAUACAAUUCAACACUUAACUACGUUAAACAACUACAUCUACUAUCUAUUUAACUACUAGUAUGUGACAAUCCAGCAGGCAUGUUUCAGGAUCAACAAUCGGGCAGUUCUAUUCCAUUUUUUUCAAGCUCGGAAUUACAACAGAGAUUCAACUGUGUACCUGGCAAUGAAAGUAAAGAAGGUAAGAUUCAACAGUAGCAACAACGGGUUCAGCAACAAAGAACAGUAGCAGAAAAUCAGUAAUGACCAGUAGAAUAAUCCAGUGACAGAUUUGGAAACCAAACAGAAAAUCUCAACGGAAAUAGUAUCCAGCAUCAGUUUUGAACAAAAUUGUAGUAGAACCAGUAGAGCAGUAGCCAAUGACCCAGUAGCGAACUCAGAAACAAAUACUUGAAGAUUCCAAGGAUACAAGGGAAUAGUAAGCUUCAGAUUUUUUUUCUUCAGGUUUUAACUCUCAAAACUCUCUUUUUACUCUCAAUUUCUCUUGAUCCAUUGUUCUUCUUCUAAGUGUCAAAUGACCCUUCCUUUUAUGUAAAACAAGACCUACUUUCAUCAUUAUUCCUACCCUUUCUUUUUAUAUUAUCCUUCCCCUUUCCAGUUUCU
rnacentral:lncRNA from 1 species